GUUUGCUUCGGCAGCACAUAUUCUAAAAUUGGAACGAUGCAGAAAAGGUUAGCAUGGUCCCAUGUGCAAGAAUGACACACAAAUUCAUGAAGUGUUCCAUAUUUUU
ensembl:snRNA U6 U6 spliceosomal RNA